rnacentral:rRNA from 1 species
UACGAAGGGGGGCUAGCGUUGCUCGGAAUCACUGGGCGUAAAGCGCACGUAGGCGGAUCUUUAAGUCAGGGGUGAAAUCCCAAGGCUCAACCUUGGAACUGCCUUUGAUACUGGGGAUCUCGAGUCCGGAAGAGGUGAGUGGAACUGCGAGUGUAGAGGUGAAAUUCGUAGAUAUUCGCAAGAACACCUGUGGCGAAAGG